rnacentral:rRNA from 1 species
AUUGAACGCUGGCGGCAGGCCUAACACAUGCAAGUCGAGCGAGCGGCGGACGGGUGAGUAAUGCCUAGGAAUCUGCCUGGUAGUGGGGGAUACCUUCCGGAAACGGGCGCUAAUACCGCAUACCAUCAGAUGUGCCCAGAUGGGGUUAGCUAGUAGGUGGGGUAACGGCUCACCUAGGCGACGAUCCCUAGCUGGUCUGAGAGGAUGACCAGCCACACGGGAACUGAGACACGGUCCAGACUCCUACGGGAGGCAGCAGUGGGGAAUAUUGCACAAUGGGCGCAAGCCUGAUGCAGCCAGGCCGCGUGUAUGAAGAAGGCCUUCGGGUUGGAAAGUACUUUCAGCGGGGAGGCGUUACCCGCAGAAGAAGCACCGGCUAACUCCGUGCCAGCCGCCGCGGUAAUAC